rnacentral:rRNA from 1 species
CAGUCGCCACGGGAAUACAGAGGGUGCGAGCGUUAAUCGGAUUUACUGGGCGUAAAGCGUGCGUAGGCGGCUUUUUAAGUCGGAUGUGAAAUCCCUGAGCUUAACUUAGGAAUUGCAUUCGAUACUGGGAAGCUAGAGUAUGGGAGAGGAUGGUAGAAUUCCAGGUGUAGCGGUGAAAUGCGUAGAGAUCUGGAGGAAUACCGAUGGCGAAGGCAGCCAUCUGGCCUAAUACUGACGCUGAGGUACGAAAGCGUGGGGAGCAAACAGGAUUAGAUACCCGGGUAGUCCCUGUCUCUUAUAC